rnacentral:rRNA from 1 species
UGGGUGACCUGCCCUCAGCUCUGGGAUAAGCCCGGGAAACUGGGUCUAAUACCGGAUACGACCUCCGCGGGCAUCUGCGGAGGUGGAAAGGUUUUCCGGCUGAGGAUGGGCCCGCGGCCUAUCAGCUAGUUGGUGGGGUGAUGGCCCACCAAGGCGACGACGGGUAGCCGGCCUGAGAGGGCGACCGGCCACACUGGGACUGAGACACGGCCCAGACUCCUACGGGAGGCA